AUGCAAAGAACUUUGAAAAGAGAGUUAAAGAGUACCUGAAAUUGUUGAAAGGGAAGCGAAGGAAACCAGUGCCGAAUCUUAGUCAUAUUUCUCUUGCCGCUUGCGGUAAGGGCGCUGUGGCUUUGAAUGGGUCAGCAUCGGCUCUUCGCCUGGGGUAAACCGGUAGUUGGUAGACGACCUUUCGAGGUGAGUGCCUUCUGUUGAUAUCCUGGGUCGGGCUGAGGUCAGUCACUCUGUGCUCGUGAUGCUGGCAAAAUGGUUUUCUUUACCCCGUCUUGAAACACGGACCAAGGAGUCUAACAUAUGUGCAAGUACAAAGGUGGCAAACCUGCGUGCAUAAUGAAAGUAACAGUGGUUGGAUCCCUUCGGGGUGCACAAUCCGCCGGCCACAAUCCUUCGGGAGACAGGUCUGAGUGUGAGCAUACAUGUUGGGACCCGAAAGAUGGUGAACUAUGCCUGAGUAGGGCGAAGCCAGGGGAAACUCUGGUGGAGGCUCGUAGAGAUUCUGACGUGCAAAUCGAUCUUCAAAUUUGGGUAUAGGGGCGAAAGACUAAUCGAACCAUCUAGUAGCUGGUUCCCUCCGAAAUUUCCCUCAGGAUAGCUGCAAUUAAUCAAUUUUAUCA
rnacentral:rRNA from 1 species